AUACUAGUAGAAGGUCUGUGUUGUGAUGCGCAAGAAUAGUCGUUGGAGGGAGAAUAAAAGCUGUCGUUUUGGUUUGGUUGAAGAUGGAUUUUUAUUUGAAAUAAAUGUUCUCUGUUCAUAGAGUGGUUGCGUAAUUCUUUGAUACUUCCCUUACUGUACAUAAUUUCCAACUAUGCCUCCAAAGAUCCCGGCAACAAUGAAUCUUAAACAGUUUAUGCUUCGUCAGAAAGUUUUGAAACUGUAUCGAGACAUAUUACGGGAAAUACGCAGAGUACCGGAUGAAGGAAGUAAAGCAGAACUUCGCCUUUGGGCUAGAAGUGACUUUAGAAAGUACCAAAAUGAGAAAGAUGAGUACGCUAUAAAGAUGCUGAUCUUCAAUGGUGAGAGAUCCUUAAAGGAACUGAAGCAAUCCAUUGAGUUGAGCAGUGCAAAGAAUAAUUAAAAGUAGCAUGUGAUGUUAAUGGCACAUGUGUGCUGUGACUGAACAAUAGAAAACAAUGUAAUAUUUAUGGUGACAUCAUCCUGACAACAGAGAGAUGGUGAAAUAAAUAAGAUAGAUGUUGUAACUUAUAAUAAUUAUAGCUGGGACCAAUUUGUUUAAUUAUUGCAGCUGUUAUUUGAUUUGGUUAUAAAUGAAGCUGUUAACAAACAGCCUGAAGCCAGAAUACUUUGACAUAAUGAUGGAAACUAAUUAUUUUUUAUAUCCUUUACACGAGGAAUGCUACUGUUCCUUUCCAUUGGUCAUGUAUUGUCACAUAUUUUGCUUGUGUGAGCAAAAGUGAUAUAAAGUGGGGGGCAGAAACCUAAUUAAUGUGAUUGAUAACUGGUUUGUGUGUGUACUCCCUGUGCCUUGUUGAUAUAGAUGAGCACAAGGUGCUUUUACAAAUUUUGGCCGUUCUUUCUAGAUCUAUGUAUGUACUCUGCAAGCCAUUAAACAGUACUCUGCACCAUAUUAAACGAGAGAAAAAGAUGCUCUAUAUACCUGUGUACAUGCCUUAAUCUCGCUUUAUCUUAUUCUCAUGAUCCCAGAAUGGUUGUACAGUCUUCUUUGAAUACAAGUUCUGUAAAUAUUCCCAAAGGGCUUCACAAGAACUAUACCAUCUGCCCUCCAAUGAUUCCAAUUGAAGUUCUCUGAGCAAUUCUGUUACACUUUUGUGAGGGCAAUACCAACCUGCUACAACCCUAGCAACUUGUCUGAAUUUGUUUGCUGUCUAUUGUCAUGCCUACUUAAUGACACCAAACUAUGGAACAAUACUUUAGAAUUGGCUGCCCUAGCAUCUUAUAUACAAUUUCCUUUACGAAUGUAGUACACUUUUUCACAGAACCUAUCCAACAAAUCCAAGUCUUUCGUUCACCUUCCCUAAUACUAAUUGUAUGUGUUUAUCCCAUUUAGUAUCACUUUUUAGUAUUACCUCUAAAUACUUAAUGUCUACAUCUAUCUACACAUAUACCUCACCAUAUGGUGCAUUGGGGAAGUAACUUAUAUCACUGCUAGUCAAGUAGAGAACAAGAGCAGUCCCAUCACACAGCCCUGGACCACUCCCGGUGAUACUUUUGAUGACCACUUGCUAUCCAGGACACCAUACUGGUUUCCAUUACUUAAAAAAUCCUUGAGCUACUCACAUGUCUGAGAACCUAUUCUGUAUGCUCAGAUUUUGUGAACAGUCUGCAGUGUGAAGUGCUGUGUGCAAGAAAAGAGGAAGCUAAGUUUCAGAUGUGUCAUGCUCUCAGAAUCCAUGCUGAUUUGUAGAUGGAAAAUGCGAUACACUCAAGAUGUUCACAGCUAAUCUUGUAAUCAGGUUCUUUCUCUUUGUUAUAGGCCUUGUUUUACACAUAUCCACAUUUAAGGAGAGCCUCUUAAUGUUACUGAUUCUACCUGAAAAAUCCUUUUAUGUAUAUUGACAAUAUUAUAGUCAUUAUUACAUUUUCUUGGGCUACACCCAAUAUGACUUUAAUUACUGUAACACAUUCAUCUCCAAGUAUUAUUACAUACUGCCUUACAGUUGUCAAAUAUUCAUUGAGACAAUCACAUACUUGCAAAGAUAUUCUGUAUUUUUGUAUCUUGGAUAGUAAUUGACAGUGUGGUACUGUGUCAGAAUACCUUUCAGAAAUUCAAGAAGGCAGAACCUAUCUGUUCACCUGCAUGGAUUAUUAAAUUUGAAAGGUAUUGUGUAUGAAUAAAGCAAGCUGUGUUUCUCACAAAUGAUUUCUCAUGAAUUAAUGCUGAUUCUUUGAGAGAACUUUGUUUUCGUCCAGGACCGUCAUGAUAUUUGAGCAUAGAAUGUGGUCUAGGAUCCUGCAACAGAUAGAGAUCAGCGAUAUUAGUCUGUAAUUAUGUGCAUCCAAUCCUUUACCAUUUUUUAAAAUGAGAGUGACCUAUACUCAUUUCCAGUAAUGUGGGACUAUUCAGUGCAUGAAAAAUUCUUGAUAAAUGUGAGCCAGUAGUGGGGAUAAUUCAGCAGUGUAUUCUGUGUUACAUUUAGCUGAAACUCUGUCACUUGGUAUCUUGUUCACUUUAGGUAGUCUCAGUUGUUUUGCAAUAUCAGGAGUGCUAAUAUCAGUAGCUCCCAUUUGUGAGUCUGAGUAGCAGUGAAUUGUCAUCACAGUAAUACAAAACUCCAGGACUCAAAUGUUUUAGAUUACUUAGGUCUGAUGUAGAGACUCACUGCAAGAUCUCAGUAGUCAGUAGUUGAGUGUAGUCACAAGUAUAGUAAAAACAAUUUUUUGGAGCAUGAGAUUGAAAAAUUGUUCAGACAUUUGAUUGUUGCAUGUAUUUGUAUAAGUGAAGUGAGAAAUAAAAUCUGUUGUAGUA